GAUGAACGCUGGCGGCGUGCUUAACACAUGCAAGUCGAACGCACUCGACCUUCGGGUCACAUGAGUGAGUGGCGAACGGGUGAGUAACACGUGAGAAACCCACCCCGAAGUUUGGAAUAAUUCAGGGAAACUUGAACUAAUACCAAAUACCCCCCAUGGAUCGAAUGGUCUAUGGAGGAAAGAUUUAUCGCUUUGGGACGGUCUCGCGGCCUAUCAGCUAGUUGGUGAGGUAACGGCUCACCAAGGCGUCGACGGGUAGCUAGUCUGAGAGGACGAAUAGCCACACUGGGACUGAGACACGGCCCAGACUUCUACGGAAGGCAGCAGUGGGGAAUCUUGCACAAUGGGCGAAAGCCUGAUGCAGCGACGCCGCGUGGGGGAUGAAGGCCCUAGGGUCGUAAACCCCUUUCAGUGGGGACGAAAAUGACGGUACCCACAGAAGAAGGUCCGGCCAACUACG
rnacentral:rRNA from 1 species